GCCGCCCUCCAGGACAGAUAUGAAGGAGGUGACAUUAUCGGGUACCUUUGCCUUUCAUUUUGUGUUUUUCCAGCAGGUGCCUUUCCUGAGCUUACUUCUAGCUCUCUUGGUUGGAAAAAUACCUGAUAAAGGAAUCUCUAUAAGAUCUUCACUUUUGUGUGGGGUGCUGAGGUUUUUAGUGAGCCCUGUCCUGUCAGUACUGCAAGGCUUCAAUCAAAUAGCACUUGAACUCUUUUCAAAGACUUGCAAGAUUGAAAAGAUUCCAGCCUGUUGAACGGAGAGUAAUAGGUGUCAAACACCCUCUCCAUUUCUGAAAAUCUCUCCUCUUUCCUUGCUGGACGGGCGAAAGAGAAGAGGCAACAGAAGAUGACUUUGGACAAUUUAAGAAGGGAAAUUUAUCAGGAACUCAGCACAUCAACUGGAAAGCUGAGACUCAGGCUUGCAUUGCCAUGUCACAUGAAGCUGCUUCUCCCGAUGAAGCAGAGAUUGAAAUGUCACACCAGCACGAUCAAUUAGAUGAUGUAGAAGAGAGGUAUUUGCUACCUGACCUUAAUCCACAGGGCAAGAAGGGCUGAGUGGAGAAGACUAAAUACAGAGAGACUCAAAGGAAGAGGAAAUGGGCAGAGCAUAGUUUAAAUAGGCACAAAGCAGCAUAAAUGUUGAUUCAUGACGAAAAGGACAUCCUCAGGUUAAAGACUUCUUAUGAUAUAUACUGGUGCACUCACUCGUUCAACUCGGAGUGAGUACAAAGUAAAUAUAAACACCUUUCACACAAGGAAUAUGACAGAAAAGGAAGUAGGAUCCAUUUGGUUGCUUCCGAGUUCAAUUGUGAGAUAUCUAUUUAUCACAGCAGUGGAAAACCAGCAGGAGGUUCAGAGGAAAGCCAUGGAAACAGGAGGACCAGGAAAAUGAAAUGCAAACAAGUAUCCUGG